rnacentral:rRNA from 1 species
AUAAAUCCGUUCCUGGAACUGGGUGCCAGAGAGGGUUAGAGCCCCGUCUUUGACUCGGUCGGAAGUGCGUGAUAAGGUAGGCCCAGAGAGUCGGCUUGCUUGGGAAUGCAGGCCAAAUCGGGUGGUAAACUCCAUCUAAAGCUAAAUAUUGGCGAGAGACCGAUAGCGAACAAGUACUGUGAAGGAAAGAUGGAAAGAACUUUGAAAAGAGAGUGAAAAAGGGCUUGAAAUUGUUGAGAGGAGAAGUGAUUGGAGCCUAUCC